AAAUCUCCUAUGCUCCGCGUCAUUGCAAGUCUACCAUUCACGUGUGGUUGUCCCAAACUGUUCCAGGCAACGAAGCCACCAGACUUCCUGAUCCUGUCCAGAGGCACAAAAGAGAAAGCAAAUGUCCAACCUGGCAGCAGCACAGACUGACUGAAGCUCUUCCCCAAGAAGCCAUAAUAUCAUCCACCAGGUACCUUUCCUUCUCCUCCUUCCUUUCUGGCGUAUGGUCAAUAGUGAGUUUCAUAGCCUUUCCUUUUCGACACAGCAGGGCACGGCUGUCUCCCACACUUGCCACAACCAACUGAAUACCAUCCUGGAGCAGGGCCACUGUCGCAGUGGUCCCAGAGUUCAUCAGAGUUGCUACAAACAUCAGAGAGAGAGAGGUUUUAACACUGCCUUAAAGCAUGGGAACAUUUACAAGACAGUAACAGUGCCAAUUGGUUAAACCAAAGACUUGUGCUCUACGUUACCAGCUUGUUCCAUGGGGCAGGGAGUACACAGAGAAGUACUCGAUGCCAUGUCUGUUGUUAAGGGAAGUGUUCACCAUCUGGUGUUCCUGCUGCCCCUUUCGGACUAAGUGGCUGUAUAACAGAGGAUGACUAGCGGCAGCGUGUCACCCACAGUUCGUUUUUGGCCCUAAAGAAGGAAGCUCUAUGGCCAGGAACCACUAAGAGUGUAUCCAUAGACAUGUACAAUUACUCACUUGAACUUCACAGAAUGGAGUCCAUGCAGCUCUGAGCUUUCUGUCUGGCCUGAUGUUCUCUACUCAGACCCAACCCUGAAAUGAGAUCCCUUGGGAAACAAGGAGACCAAGUUCUUCCACUGACUUUUAUUUGGAUGUCUUUUCUGGUCCAGAUGCAUUAAACGCACCAGCUGGCUCAGCACAGCUAGAAACUGAUUAAUGCUUAUUCAUCUAGGAUGCUGAAAAAUACAGAGAUCAUCUUAUUUAACCAUUUGCAGAAUAAUGCUUAACAUGAUGAAAGUCAAACAAGCUGGGGUGCAUUGGGUAAUAAGUCCACAUUGUUGCACCAGAUAAGUUUGAACUGGACCACCAGAUCCCUGAAACUAAGCGUGCUAGGUUUUCAGCAAGGAAUUGCUCUUGUUAUUGCUAAAUGUUUGUGGGUGUGUUGGGUAGUUACCGAGAGCAGAAUUACAAGUGAAAGAUGUUCUAUACUGUAAUGAAGGGAUUAAAAAUAAACAGGCUUGUGAUGAACGCUAAUGCAUCAAAUGGCACAAAUAUCUGAUGUAAUCCAGCGGCAAAGAGCAAGCAAUACAUGUACUCCUGAAACACAGUUAUUCAGGGCUGGAGCAGCCUGCUGUUGUAUUCCAGACAGCAAUUGCAGCUGUGGUUUUGAAAUACUGGUUUAAACUAUUUUUUUUAAAUCCUGCACAAAAUCUGUGCUUGCAGAAAUUUUCAGUCAAAGGUAGGUUUGUAAGCAGUUGCUUUAUUAGAAGAUGGCUGUGAUAUGAGCUUUCUGCAGGCCUACAGUAAACCUGUCAUUCACAGCUCAAAGCAUAUAGUUCUAGACGCCCCUUGGCUUAUCGUGAAUACACUUCCUUAUGUGAGGAAAUAUAUGUAUUUAUUUAUCAUUUACAGCGUAACAGUUCACUCAAUAAAUACCCGACAAGCUGGGAAUCAAUAUUGUAACAGAUGAAAUCGGCCUUGGCUACCAGCUGAGUGCAACUGACCAAUGUCAAUUUCGAGUGAUCUUCCAUUUUAUUCCUGGAUGUCUGCAAUAUCUCACCCUUAUUUCACUAUACUCACGGGUGCUUAAUAACUCAUUUACUUUCUUGACUGUUUAUUUUCUGUUGCCCUUGACUCACAGCAACAGUAUGGUGAAGCACAGCAUGACAAAAUCCAAAGCCUGCCAACUUAGGAAACCCGCACUCAGAUUCACUUCCGUCAGCUUGAAAGAACAUGAAAAACUAGCUAUAUUUAAACUUCCUAGUAUCCGCAUAUCCACAGCAUGAUUUGGAAGAUUAAUCCAAAAUACAGAGCUAAUUAACGUGUUUAUUCCCAUCAAACAGAUCUCUCAAAAGUCCUUUUUCUCCAGGCAAGUACAAACAGCAAUGGCUGGCUUUUCUCUGCAAGCAAGGAAUAGGAAACGGAGCUGUAACUGCCGUGAUGUAAAUAGUUAGGCUUUCAGCUGGCUGCAGCACAGGCUGUACUUUCCUAGCGGAUACGUUGCCAAACCCUGAGCAAGUCUAUCGGGGACAAACAAGAUGAAGGCAUUGUAAAAGGCAGUGCUGGUGCUACAGCCCAAGUGCAUGCAGCAAGGCUGUAGAUGCUCCAUCUGAUCCCGAUAGUCUGCACCUAUUUAACCUACAAAAAUAGUUUUUCUAGAUAGCCAAGAACGUGCAGUAAUUGCGGUUAAUGAUUAAGCCAUAGUUCAAGCUGUAUGGUGCCCCUUUGGCAGGGUGGCAGCUUCACGGCAGAUGGAAAGUCUCCAUACCGAGAUGAAAGAAAAAAGGAAAAAAAACACCACAACCCAAGAAGAAAGCAUGCAUGCCUGGCGCCCCACUAAGCUUAAUACCUGCAAACCGGGACGCGAACCCCUCAGCACGCCCUGAAUAAGGAGAAGACGCGUCAGCUGUGCAUCAGCCACCGUAGGACUCGCCUCCGUCCAUCUUGGACAGCUUGCUUCUGUUACUGGUAAAGCUUAGAAAUAAAAUCCUGCGUCUAAAAACCGUA